rnacentral:rRNA from 1 species
UACGUAGGGGGCUAGCGUUGUCCGGAAUCAUUGGGCGUAAAGAGCGUGUAGGCGGCCCGGUAAGUCCGCUGUGAAAGUCGGGGGCUCAACCCUCGAAUGCCGGUGGAUACUGUCGGGCUAGAGUGCGGAAGAGGCGAGUGGAAUUCCUGGUGUAGCGGUGAAAUGCGCAGAUAUCAGGAGGAACACCAAUGGCGAAGGCAGCUCGCUGGGACGUGACUGACGCUGAGACGCGAAAGCGUGGGGAUCAAACAGG